CCUACGGGUGGCAGCAGUGAGGAAUAUUGGUCAAUGGGCGCGAGCCUGAACCAGCCAAGUAGCGUGAAGGAUGACUGCCCUACGGGUUGUAAACUUCUUUUAUAAAGGAAUAAAGUGAGGCACGUGUGCCUUUUUGUAUGGACUUUAUGAAUACGGAUCGGCUAACUCCGUGCCAGCAGCCGCGGUAAUACGGAGGAUCCGAGCGUUAUCCGGAUUUAUUGGGUGUAAAGGGAGCGUAGAUGGGUUGUUAAGUCAGUUGUGAAAGUUUGCGGCUCAACCGUAACAUUGAAAUUGAUACUGGCAGUCUUGAGUACAGUUGAGGGAGGCGGAAUUCGUGGUGUAGCAGUGAAAUGCGUAGAUAUCACGAAGAACUCCGAUUGCGAAGGCAGCUUACUAAACUGCCACUGACAUUGAUGCUCGAAAGUGUGGGUAUCAAACAGGAUUAGAUACCCUGGUAGUC
rnacentral:rRNA from 1 species